UACGGAGGGGGCGAGCGUUAUUCGGAAUUAUUGGGCGUAAAGGGCGCGUAGGCGGCUGAACAAGUCAAAGGUGAAAUCCCUCGGCUCAACUGAGGAACUGCCUUUGAAACUGUUCGGCUUGAGGCCGGGAGGGGGUAGCGGAAUUCCCAGUGUAGCGGUGAAAUGCGUAGAUAUUGGGAGGAACACCAGUGGCGAAGGCGGCUACCUGGACCGGUUCUGACGCUGAGGCGCGAAAGCGUGGGUAGCAAACGGG
rnacentral:rRNA from 1 species